rnacentral:rRNA from 1 species
AGGAAGCACCGGCUAACUCCGUGCCAGCAGCCGCGGUAAUACGGGGGGUGCAAGCGUUAUUCGGAAUCAUUGGGCGUAAAGGGCGCGUAGGCGGCCCCUUAAGUCAGAUGUGAAAGCCCUCAGCUUAACUGAGGAAGUGCAUUUGAAACUAAGGGGCUUGAGUAUGGGAGAGGGAAGCGGAAUUCCUGGUGUAGCGGUGAAAUGCGUAGAUAUCAGGAGGAACACCGGUGGCGAAGGCGGCUUCCUGGACCAAUACUGACGCUGAGGCGCGAAGGCGUGGGGAGCAAACAGGAUUAGAUACCCUGGUAGUCCACGCAGUAAACUGUGAACACUAGGUGUAGCGGGUAUUGACCCCUGCUGUGCCGAAGCUAACGCA